GAUGAACGCUGGCGGCGUGCCUAAUACAUGCAAGUCGAGCGAACAGACGAGGAGCUUGCUCCUCUGACGUUAGCGGCGGACGGGUGAGUCACACGUGGAUAACCUACCUAUAAGACUGGGAUAACUUCGGGACACCGGCGCUAAUACCGGAUAAUAUCUUGAACCGCAUGGUUCAAUAGUGAAAGACGGUUUUGCUGUCACUUAUAGAUGGAUCCGCGCCGCAUUAGCUAGUUGGUAAGGUAAAGGCUUACCAAGGCAACGAUGCGUAGCCGACCUGAGAGGGUGAUCGGCCACACUGGAACUGAGACGCGGUCAAGACGCCUACGGGAGGCAGCAGUAGGGAAUCUUCCGCAAUGGGCGAAAGCCUGACGGAGCAACGCCGCGUGAGUGAUGAAGGUCUUCGGAUCGUAAAACUCUGUUAUUAGGGAAGAACAAAUGUGUAAGUAACUAUGCACGUCUUGACGGUACCUAAUCAGAAAGCCACGGCUAACUACGUG
rnacentral:rRNA from 1 species